rnacentral:rRNA from 1 species
AUUGAACGCUGGCGGAAUGCUUUACACAUGCAAGUCGAACGGCAGCACGGGGGCAACCCUGGUGGCGAGUGGCGAACGGGUGAGUAAUACAUCGGAACGUGCCCAGUCGUGGGGGAUAACGUAGCGAAAGUUACGCUAAUACCGCAUACGAUCUACGGAUGAAAGCGGGGGACCGUAAGGCCUCGCGCGAUUGGAGCGGCCGAUGUCAGAUUAGGUAGUUGGUGAGGUAAAGGCUCACCAAGCCGACGAUCUGUAGCUGGUCUGUGAGGACGACCAGCCACACUGGGACUGAGACACGGCCCAGACUCCUACGGGAGGCAGCAGUGGGGAAUUUUGGACAAUGGGCGCAAGCCUGAUCCAGCCAUUCCGCGUGCAGGACGAAGGCCUUCGGGUUGUAAACUGCUUUUGUACGGAACGAAAAGGCUCUGGUUAAUACCUGGGGCUCAUGACGGUACCGUAAGAAUAAGCACCGGCUAACUACGCGCCAGCCGCCGCAGUAA